AGGGGUUGCCAAGGAGGUAACAAAGGGUUAAGGUUUUUGUAAGAUACUGUUACAUUUCAACUCUACCCUGUAAGUUUUUUCCUUGGUCAGGGGACAGCGGAGCAGACGCAGGCUCUCACUGACAAGUUGGUGGGGGUGAGGUUUCUUGCAUUAGUACAUUGACGCGUACAUGUUUUUCUGUUGGCUACAUACAGGAGUUCUCUAAACGAUGCUGUUUUCCUGCAUAGUUUUCAAUCCAGUCUGCAUUGAAACCUGUCAUUCCCAACAAUGUCAUCAUUUCGCUGACUGUCCGUGGACUUGGAGCUUUGCUAACACCUUCCAGUUGAGAAGGUGAAAUGCUAACUCUUCCUUGAGGUAUUUGUCUUUCCUAGGUAAUCUACCUGUGGUUGACAGUACUGUAGUUUUGUUUGGAGACCUUGUGUCCUCCCUCUGCUAAUCUUUGCAGAACUUUGAUUGAGUCCUGAUGACAGUCAUUUAGUGUGUUUCCGCAGAUUAACAAAUCGUCCACAUUUCGUUAAUCCACAUUAAGAAAAACAAAAAAAAUUGAGAUGCAAUACGGGGUUAAUUUCUCUCGCGAAAGCGAGACUAAAAUCUUUUUACUUUUUGUUUUUUCAGAGGUCCUUUUGUCUCUCCUCGGGCGGGGGAGAGAGGGAGAGGAGGGGCAACGCUCCGGGAGGAGGGAGUGAAAAGCGUUGUGUGUGUGGCUCUCCUUGCCUGCGUAGAGCUGUAUGUGUGGUUCCUCUGCCUGAGGAGAACUUAGUGUGUGUGUGCAAGAUUUUCCUUCGGGCGGGGGAGAGAGCUACUUGGCAGUCUUUAACUAACAGGCUAAAAAUAACUCAGCCUGCCAGUGGUUCUGCCCCACUGACAGGCAAAAAAGGCAGACGGAGCCGUCUCCUUCCCCAAACAAAACAGUCUUACAAAUACAAAGUUUAAAUACCUGCACCCACAUCUUAACAACAUAACAGCUUCAAAAAGUAUACACACCUUGGUCCACCAAGAUUUCCUUACAACAAUAAAAGUUUCCAAGCACUUUUUAGCUCAUCAACCUAGACAACUUUACCUCUAACAGUGGGACUUGAAUACAAAAAACAAAAAAAAAAAAAACAAAACAAAAACAAAACAAAAGCAACCAUGCAGUUUCAUUCAUCCAUGCGUUUUAGUCAUCCAAUAAAGCUCUCAUCCUUUAUAAUCACACGUAGACGUCAACAACAAUCACACAUUCUUAAUCAUCACCUUUCAACAUUCCCACAUUCUCACGUUUUCCUUUCACUCUCACUCUCCCGGGAGACUUAUUGUUUUUCUUAAAGGUCCAAAUGUUCAAUGUUCCUGGAUUUUAACUGUGCGCACAGAAAAUUUAAAUCAGGUUUUUUAUGGGACCCAGAGCAAAAAAAAAAAAAAAA